GAUGAACGCUGACAGAAUGCUUAACACAUCAGCAAUUGAUUGGUGGCGGACGGGUGAGUAACGCGUAAAGAACUUGCCUUACAGCUAGGGACAACAUUUGGAAACGAAUGCUAAUACCUAAUACUGUGAGAGAGCUUUGCGUCCCAUGAGCUAGUUGGAGAGGUAACGGCUCACCAAGGCGAUGAUGGGUAGCCGGCCUGCGAGGGUGAUCGGCCACACGGGAACAGAGACACAGCCCUUACGCCUACGUGAGGCAGGGUGGGAGAAUAUUGAACAAUGGACCAAAGUCUGAUGCAGCAAUUCUGUGUGCACGAUGAAGUUUUCGGAAUGUAAAGUGCUUUCAGUUGGGGAGCGGUACCAACAGAAGAAGUGACGGCUAAAUACGUGCCAGCAGCCGCGGUAAUAC
rnacentral:rRNA from 1 species